rnacentral:rRNA from 1 species
CUUCGGGAACUCUGAGACAGGUGCUGCAUGGCUGUCGUCAGCUCGUGUUGUGAAAUGUUGGGUUAAGUCCCGCAACGAGCGCAACCCUUAUCCUUGUUUGCCAGCGAGUAAUGUCGGGAACUCCAGGGAGACUGCCGGUGAUAAACCGGAGGAAGGUGGGGACGACGUCAAGUCAUCAUGGCCCUUACGAGUAGGGCUACACACGUGCUACAAUGGCGCAUACAGAGGGCAGCCAACUUGCGAAAGUGAGCGAAUCCCAAAAAGUGCGUCGUAGUCCGGAUUGGAGUCUGCAACUCGACUCCAUGAAGUCGGAAUCGCUAGUAAUCGUGGAUCAGAAUGCCACGGUGAAUACGUUCCCGGGCCUUGUACACACCGCCCGUCACACCAUGGGAGUGGGCUGCAAAAGAAGUAGGUAGUUUAACCUUCGGGGGGACGCUUACCACUUUGUGGUUCAUGACUGGGGUGAAGUCGUAACAAGGUAGCGCUAGGGGAACCUGGCGCUGGAUCACCUCCUUA